CUCCUUCUGCAAUUUUUAUACAAGUUGUGUGCUCCCAAGGUGACUACUUUUGCGGAUGUAUUAGCAGGGUAGCAUAUGCUGACUACUUUUUUUCUAGUAUUGGGGGCAAGGACAAAAUUAUAUAAGUUAAUAAACUCAAGGGGAAGAUUAAUGAGAGUUAAACUUAGUGGACAAAACAAAACAGUUUUAUUCUAAUUCUACAAAAUACAGACCAGUCAAGAGCAUCAUACUUUCAACUCGUUCCUGUGUUUGGCUGAAAGUUUGAAACAAAUGCUCUUUCCACUCACUCAUUCCAGUUCCAUUUAUUACCUUGAUUUCUCUUCUUCUUUAAAAUCUUCUUCAUCCGAAACCAUGAAGUAGGCGAAGAAGACCCGUGACCGCCAAUUAUCCCACCAACACUUGCCAUUCUCUUUCCAAAUAUCUCCAAAAUCUAUUAUGAUCUACUAUAAUUUAUACCAGAAAUGAAGAUGUGUCAACUUUCAAAGGAAAUGUAUGGUUGUUACGGCAAAUUUAAUACUGAAUUUUAAAAAAUAGGGUUGUUCUGAAAAUAAAAAUACAGAUUGAUAUAUGGAGAGAGAGAAAGUAAAGGCUAGUCCUUAUCUG
rnacentral:lncRNA from 1 species